GGAUGUGUAAAGAUUACCCCUCUUGCGACAUGCCUACUAUGCGGUUAUGCCUCUAAGUCGUGCUCCGACACAUGGGAGAUAUAGCCGCAUCGUGGGUGUUACAUGGCGCAACACGCGACCAAGACAGAUCUUGUUCUGGAGUCCCUCACCGUGCUCAGGCAACCAGGUUCUGCCCUCGUCCUCCCUCGUACGUCCUUCGGUGUCGGCGGAGCGGUGUCGAAGCCAAAAUUUCCAGGUUCCUUGAGCUGGACAAGGGAGCAGGGGAUGGCGGUGAAGCCGGUGUUGGGCACAUAGCCGCUGUACCUACGGUGGAACGGCUGGGCAGGACGGCGUGGCGGCAAGUGCUGGGCAAAACGGAGUGACGGUAGGUGCUGUGCAAGCUGGUCUUGGGGCCGACCAGGACACCAUGGAGAAGACUAGCAAGUCUACUACUCCGUGAGUACGAGUAGCUCUCUAAAUUUGGCGAUGCAAGCUGUACCGUGAAUGAACAAUUGGAUAAAUAAUUUUAACCCAAAGUCCAGCAUUGCACCACAUCUAAUAUUACAACUUCUAGUCGGCUAAGGCAUGCAUGACACUCUCAUAUAGUUCGUGAUCAGAGUCUAAAACAUUAGGAAGAUUUCCUGCUCGUUCUAGGCCAUCCUUGUACAUGUGAGGGAUCUUGUAGUCACUGUCUCCACCUCUCUUCAUGACCUCAAUUAAGAAACUUUGUAGUGUUAGGAAAAUUUUGUUUAUCUUAUCGGCAUCAUAUGCAUCAUAUUCAUGUUGCACACUGUUCAUUAGCUCAUCUAAACUGUUAGACACCAGCAUAUCAAACAUGGAAUGUAGUGAAGGGAAUAGGCCAAGGUCUAGGAUAUUCAUAUCUAGUGAGUUCGAGGGUUGUUGCAUGAGGCGAAUAUCAAGCCCAAUUUGGGCAACAACAUUAAGGAAACCUAGGUCAUUACCUGGGACAUGUGUAGGCACAUUGUCUUGCUGGAUCCAUAUGGUCUCACCUGCGAGCUCUUGAGGCCAAACUGCUUGAAUAGCUGGUAGUAACUUUUGAAUCAAAAACUCCCUCGACGUUUCUCUCUUAACAGAGAUUGUUUUUGUGAUUAGUGUCCCUCUUGGACGGUAAUCACUUUUCCGAGGGACACUAAUCAGUUUUCCUUGGCACUGAGACUCAAGUUAGAUUAAGUACUGAUGUGCAUAAUAAAUAAAAUAAGUAAAGGUUGAAAUUCACCUUCUUGAUAAAGGGCCAAAUGCCUAUCUUAUGCAAAUACCUUCUGCAUUGUAUCUAGGCCUGGCUAUAGCAACCAAAAAUAUGAUUUUUCCAAUGAAGUUCUACUUUUGCAUAGUCCUAUGUGGGUCUUCGUCUGAUGGUAGCUUGUAGAAUUUCAUGGUCUUCUGAGUGGUGUUAAACCACUUUUCAUCUAUAUGGAUUAUGUUCUGCAUAUCCCUGAACAUGGACCUAUUUUGCAAGCUUUGCAGGUCAAAUAUAGAGAGACAAAACUACAACCUAUCCUUUUUGUUUUCCUCCUUCAACUAUGGUUUGAGUGUGCUUGAUUGUAGUGUGGUCUUCUUCACACCCAAAGCUCUUGCGAGGCUAUGUAUAGUUCUCCUUUGCCUCCGAGGAAUCUCAGCAACCAUACUGAGGUCAAGUACAAUCCUUUUGGGCCCAUAGUUUUUUGGCUUCCUUGAUCUUACAUCAAUGGGUACGUCCUGUCGAAGACACUCCUCCACUCUCCUCCAAACAAGUCUGACCUUGUGCACUGAAACAUGGAACAUGUUUUCAACUUCUCUAGUUGUGGUCUUCUUUAAUUUCCGAUUGACACUUCUUGCUAGCAAUUAUUCAUAAAUACCAGUCCUUUGCAAAUCUAUUAAAUUAUUGUAUUUGUCUUCAUCAUGAACUUGCUCAUUAUCUUGUUGCUCUUGCUCCACAUCCAUGUCUUCUUCCAGUGUUGAAUCAUACAUGGCUUCAUCAGACUCUGAAUAAUCAAGCUCUUCUUCCUCAAACUGAAUCUCUAUAUCACCUACAUACACACCAUAGUCCUCCUCGUCUACUUGAAGGUUCUGUAGAGCCUCAUCCAUUGCUUGCACUUCCUCUUCCAUGCUCUGGAAAACACCACCUUGGUCUUCAAGUUCAUCAUCUACAAGAUGAGGUCAUUGCUCUUCUCCACGGACAACAUCAGCCUCAUGUUCAUCUUCUACCUGAAGAGAUCGACCCAUGUUUAGAUUGAAGUGACGUGCGGGUUGGAGUUCUUCAUACACGACUUUGAAAAUCAAAAGUCAUAACACAGGCCCUCUUCUCCAUGGGCAACACUAGCCUCGUGUUCAUCUUCUACCUCAAGAAACAUGUUUAGAUCAAAGUGAACAAGAAGAAGGAUUGAACAAGAAGAAUUGAAAUAUUAGCAAGGAGUACAUGGGUCCAUGUUUAGAUCGAAGUGAUGUUCGGGCUGGAGUUCUUCAUGCAAGGCAGCUCUAGCUUUUUCCUAUACAGGAUGCUAAUCCAAGGCAGCUCCAUCUUCUUCCUGUACAUGCUGCUCAUCCAAGGCAGCUUCAUCUUCUUCCUUUAUAGGUUGGCAAUUGAGAACAUGGUGCCAGUUCAGAUCAGGAAACCUGCUAGCUUCUUCCUCUCCCUCAUCUGGUGCUGCUAAGUUCAAGUCGAUGGCCAUGGAUAGUGUGUGUGUGUGUGUGUCUGGUCUACUGUUUGGUCCAUGUAAGCUAUCUUUGUAGCUAGGAUUAGACGCUUGGUCUUCUAAUAUUUGUGGUGCCAAGUACCUUUGUUGUUUUACUAGUAUAACUGGCGGGAACAGUGAAAGUUGGAGGUAAACUUGCUGGCGGGAAGUCAUUUCUAGUGGUUGGAUUGCUUUUUU